CCGAUGAGGUGGAAACGGACAGAGCUGGCGUAUCUGGCCUGCAUUCAGCCGCUGCGCGUCGGGCCCCGGUUUGCCGCACUCCAGAUUGGGAAGGUGGCUGGGCUGCUGGCGUGCUGGUGGUGCAUUUGCAGGUGGAGUGCGCCGAGGCGCCCGGUUCAGCGGCAUGAGCUCGGCUUUGAGGCCAGUCGCGCAAGCGGUCUGGUACCCGGGUCGGGGGAGUGUUGUUUGGGCCGGGUGUUCGCUGGGGCACAGGUUUCGGGCCCGGGUGGGUGCCGAGCUGGCGGUCGGCGGCGGUCGCGUGCGACACGUGCCAGCAGUCAGUUCGGUCCUGCUCGAGCUCUCUCGUGUCCGGCCUCGGUGUAAAAGCCGGUCAUCUGUCCGACCCGUCUUGAAACACGGACCAAGGAGUUUAGCGUGUGCGCGAGUCAUUGGGUGUUGAAAACCCAGAGGCGUAAUGAAAGUGAAGGUCUGCCUUGUGCAGCUGAUGUGUGAUCUUGGGCGCCGCGGCGCCCGGGCGCAACAUAGUCCCGUCCUGACUGCAUGCAGUGGGGCGGAGACAGAGCGUACGCGCUGAG
rnacentral:rRNA from 1 species